UACGAAGGGGGCUAGCGUUGUUCGGAAUUACUGGGCGUAAAGCGCACGUAGGCGGAUUGUUAAGUUAGGGGUGAAAUCCCAGGGCUCAACCCUGGAACUGCCUUUAAUACUGGCAAUCUCGAGUCCGAGAGAGGUGAGUGGAAUUCCGAGUGUAGAGGUGAAAUUCGUAGAUAUUCGGAGGAACACCAGUGGCGAAGGCGGCUCACUGGCUCGGUACUGACGCUGAGGUGCGAAAGCGUGGGGAGCAAACAGGG
rnacentral:rRNA from 1 species